rnacentral:rRNA from 1 species
GUCGAGCGAGAACCUAGGCUUCGGCUUAGGGGACAGCGGCGAACGGGUGAGUAACACGUGGGUAAUCUGCCCUCGACAUCGGGAUAGCCCGGGGAAACCCGGAUUAAUACCGAAUAGCCCAUCCGCUUUUCGGAGCGGCUGGAAAAGGUAGCUUUGGCCUCCGGUCGAGGAGGAGCCCGCGGCGGAUUAGCUUGUUGGUGAGGUAAUGGCCCACCAAGGCGACGAUCCGUAGCUGGUCUGAGAGGACGAUCAGCCACACUGGGACUGAGACACGGCCCAGACUCCUACGGGAGGCAGCAGUGGGGAAUCUUGCGCAAUGGGCGAAAGCCUGACGCAGCGACGCCGCGUGCGGGAAGAAGGCCUUCGGGUUGUAAACCGCUUUCAGGAGGGACGAAGCCACUCAGGUUAAUAGCCGAGAGGGUGACGGUACCUCCAGAAGAAGCCCCGGCUAACUACGUGCCAGCAGCCGCGGUAAUACGUAGGGGGCAAGCGUUGUCCGGAUUUAUUGGGCGUAAAGAGCGUGUAGGCGGCCAGAUAGGUCUGCUGUGAAAACUCGAGGCUCAACCUCGAGCUGUCGGCGGAAACCAUUUGGCUAGAGUCCGGAAGAGGAAAGCGGAAUUCCUGGUGUAGCGGUGAAAUGCGCAGAUAUCAGGAAGAACACCCGUGGCGAAGGCGGCUUUCUGGGACGGUACUGACGCUGAGACGCGAAAGCGUGGGGAGCGAACAGGAUUAGAUACCCUGGUAGUCCACGCUGUAAACGAUGGGUGCUAGGUGUGGGCGGUGUCGACUCCGUCCGUGCCGAAGCUAACGCAUUAAGCACCCCGCCUGGGGGAGUAC